AGGCUUAACACAUGCAAGUCGAGCGGUAGCAGAUCUAGCUUGCUAGAUGCUGACGAGCGGCGGACGGGUGAGUAACGCGUAGGAACCUGCCCAGUAGUGGGGGAUAGCCCGGGGAAACUCGGAUUAAUACCGCAUACGCUCUACGGAGGAAAGAGGGGGCUUCGGCUCUCGCUAUUGGAUGGGCCUGCGUGAGAUUAGCUAGUUGGUGAGGUAAUGGCUCACCAAGGCGACGAUCUCUAGCUGGUCUGAGAGGAUGAUCAGCCACACUGGGACUGAGACACGGCCCAGACUCCUACGGGAGGCAGCAGUGGGGAAUAUUGCACAAUGGGCGCAAGCCUGAUGCAGCCAUGCCGCGUGUGUGAAGAAGGCUUUCGGGUUGUAAAGCACUUUCAGUGGGGAGGAAGGCCUCGUAGUUAAUAGCUGCGAGGAUUGACGUUACCCACAGAAGAAGCACCGGCUAACUCCGUG
rnacentral:rRNA from 1 species